rnacentral:rRNA from 1 species
GGACCAAGGAGUCUAGCAUGUGCGCAAGUCACUGGGACUUUAGGAAACCAACAGGCGUAAUGAAAGUAAAUAUAUAUGAAUGUUUUGGUAAUUCAAUUUAUAAGGGAAGAUGGGUAAAGGAUGAUAUAUUANGCCUCGCCUCCCCGGGGCGUCGCGUACUUAUUGCAAGUUGCGGCGCACCAAGAGCGUACACGCUGGGACCC